UACGUAGGUGGCAAGCGUUGUCCGGAUUUAUUGGGUUUAAAGGGUGCGUAGGUGGCCUGUUAAGUCAGGGGUGAAAGACGGUAGCUCAACUAUCGCAGUGCCCUUGAUACUGAUGGGCUUGAAUAAACUAGAGGUAGGCGGAAUGUGACAAGUAGCGGUGAAAUGCAUAGAUAUGUCACAGAACACCAAUUGCGAAGGCAGCUUACUAUGGUUUUAUUGACACUGAGGCACGAAAGCGUGGGGAUCAAACAGG
rnacentral:rRNA from 1 species